UACGGGGGGGAGCAAGCGUUGUUCGGAUUUACUGGGCGUAAAGGGCGCGUAGGCGGUCGUGACAAGUCACUUGUGAAAUCUCCGGGCUUAACUCGGAACGGUCAAGUGAUACUGUCGGACUAGAGUACAGAAGGGGCAACUGGAAUUCUCGGUGUAGCGGUGAAAUGCGCAGAUAUCGGGAAGAACACCCGUGGCGAAGGCGGCUCUCUGGGACGGUACUGACGCUGAGACGCGAA
rnacentral:rRNA from 1 species